AGGAACGUUGAAGACAACGACGUUGAUAGGCCGGGUGUGUAAGCGCAGCGAUGCGUUGAGCUAACCGGUACUAAUGAACCGUGAGGCUUAACCUUACAACGCCGAAGGUGUUU
rnacentral:rRNA from 1 species